GACGAACGCUGGCGGCGUGCUUAACACAUGCAAGUCGAACGGAAAGGCCCUGCUUGCAGGGUGCUCGAGUGGCGAACGGGUGAGUAACACGUGGGUGAUCUGCCCCUUACUUUGGGAUAAGCCUGGGAAACUGGGUCUAAUACCGGAUAGGACCAUGCUGUAGGUGGUGUGGUGGAAAGAUUAGUUUCGGUAAGGGAUGAGCUCGCGGCCUAUCAGCUUGUUGGUGGGGUAAUGGCCUACCAAGGCGUCGACGGGUAGCCGGCCUGAGAGGGUGGACGGCCACAUUGGGACUGAGAUACGGCCCAGACUCCUACGGGAGGCAGCAGUGGGGAAUAUUGCACAAUGGGCGCAAGCCUGAUGCAGCGACGCCGCGUGGGGGAUGACGGCCUUCGGGUUGUAAACUCCUUUCAGCCAUGACGAAGCCCUUGUGGUGACGGUAGUGGUAGAAGAAGCACCGGCUAACUACGUG
rnacentral:rRNA from 1 species